CUCUGGCACAUGCGCAGCAGCGCCUUCAGCUCGACCCUGAAGUUCUCAUUGAGCCAGCAGUAGAUGAAGGGGUUGUAGCAGGGCCAGGUACUGCUUCGUGGUCACAUCGCCGAUGGUGUUGCACAACCACAGCUUCUUGGCCACACGGGCAUAGGCCACGGAGAUGAUGAGGAGGGGGAGAAUGUAAAGCAGGAUGAAAGUGGCCAAGUCCAGAAUCAUCAAUGGCCUUCAAGACAGAGCCAGAUACCCUCUGAGCAUCCAGGCCACUCAUAGCCGGCCCACCUUUCCCUGGCUGCCUCUGCUUCUUCCUGCCCCGCGGCUCCUCCACGGUGCAUCCUGCCCCAACGCUGCAGCUGCAGUGAGCGCUCAACACACCAUGAACCUGGACACCCCUGCCUUUGUCCUCUCCAGUCUCUGCCUGCGCUGAACAUGCAUCUCAGCCUGAGAAAUUCCUACUCAUCCUAGCCCCUCUGAAGUGUUGUGUUUUUUGAGAAGUCUCCUUUGACCCGCUCAUGGGACUCUGGCAGAUCAAAAUAAAGGACUGACUCCUGGCUCCACCACA